AUGGAUAUUCAGGGAGUUUCUCCGCAUGGUGGGUGGCAAACAUCCGCAGACAAUACUUACAGUCAAGCACGGUCUAUGGAGCUUGCUAUUGAAGCAGAGCUGCCAAGCACAGUGCACCGUUGGUGCAAAUGGCAUGUUUUGAAAAAGGCUAAGGAAUCCAUGGGUGUUCUCUGGAGCAAGAACAACGAUUUCAAACUGGAGUUCCACAAGCUUGUCCAUCACAUGAUAACUGAAGAAGAAUUUCAGGCUAGAUGGGACCAGAUGUUGGAGAAGUACUCGCUGAGGAAGCAUCCCUUCUUGACGCAGAUAUAUGAGGUGAGGCAUAAAUUGGCAAAGCCGUAUUUCCGAGGGGUGUUCUGUGCUAGGAUGACAAGCACUCAACGGAGUGAGAGCGCAAACCAUCUUUUGAAGGGUUACGUGCCACCAGGGUGCCCAAUGCAUCUGUUUUUGAAGCAGUUUCAGAAAUUGCAAUUUGAUAGAGAAGCAGAAGAGAGUUAUCAAGAGAAGAGGACAUCCCUGAGCAGCGUGCCUCUUAGUGUGAACCUUCCAAUAGAGAAACAUGCUAGCAAGGUGUACACCAGAGCUAUGUUUGAAAAAUUUGGCGAGGAAUUGUAUAAAUGUGGGGCACAUGUGUUGGAUGAGGUGUUGCCUAGGAGGAUUUACAAGUCUACCCAUGUAGAAGCGGCAAACAGGGAGAGGUGGAGCAAAGUUGAAUUCAAGAUAGAAGUGAAUGAAGAUGAGAGUUUUUUCAGUUGCGAGUGCGGGUACUUUGAGCAUGCUGGGCUAGUGUGCUGCCAUGCACUGCAGGUGAUGGUGCACUUCCGUUUGCAAAAAAUACCACCAAAACACAUACUUAAGAGAUGGACGAGAGAUGCUCGGGACAUUCUUCCUGAGCAUCUGGUUAGGUAUCAGAGAGACAGAGGGCCUCCGGCCAGUGAUACAUUCAGGCACCACACCAUGUACAUGAAAGCGCUGGAGUGUGUUGUGCUUGGCGACAACAAUGUCAAGUGCUAUGAUGUUUUCAUGGCGAUGAUGAAGGAGGUGCAUGCGACUCUGCUUCCACUUAGUGUUGAUAAAGAUGGAAUGGGGCUUGCAGAGAGAGAGAAACAACAACAGACUCUAGCGGAAAAAGAACAUGCAUAUGUGGGUGGCAAUGCUGUGCUGCAAACAAAUAAAGUUGAUGGUGAAUCUAGUUGCUCAGCUGUUGGGCUGAAUGAGAAGAAGAGGCAAAUGGGAAGGCGAACGACAAGCAGGGACAAGGCUCCGUAUGAGCAACAACUUAAGAGGUCCCGUUUUUGCACGAUCUGCAGAGAACAAGGGCACAAAUGUACAACUUGUCCGCAGCGAGGUGAUUUACCUAAGGCUCCAAGGAAGUUGCCGAAAUGCACGAACUGUGGUGUUGUUGGACAUCGACGCAACAAUUGUGGCACUAAGAAAUCCGGCCCAUUUGAGCCAAACUUCCUGUAG
rnacentral:rRNA from 1 species